GACGAACGCUGGCGGCGUGCUUAACACAUGCAAGUGGAGCGACGAACCAGGCUUCGGCCUGGGGCAAAGCCGCGAACGGGUGAGUAACACGUGGGUAACCUGCCCCGAUGACUGGGACAACCCGGGAAACCCGGGCUAAUACCGGAUGUGCUCUCCUCACAUCAGUGAGGUGCGUAAAGGAAGCUUCGGCCUCCGCAUUGGGAUGGGCCCGCGGCCCAUUAGCUUGUUGGUGAGGAAUGGCUCACCAAGGCUGCGAUGGGUAGCUGGUCUGAGAGGACGAUCAGCCACACUGGGACUGAGACACGGCCCAGACUCCUACGGGAGGCAGCAGUGGGGAAUCUUGCGCAAUGCGCGAAAGCGUGACGCAGCAACGCCGCGUGGGGGAAGAAGGCCUGGU
rnacentral:rRNA from 1 species